rnacentral:rRNA from 1 species
AUUGAACGCUGGCGGCAGGCUUAACACAUGCAAGUCGAGCGGAGAUGAGGUGCUUGCACCUUAUCUUAGCGGCGGACGGGUGAGUAAUGCUUAGGAAUCUGCCAUUUAGUGGGGGACAACAUUCCGAAAGGAAUGCUAAUACCGCAUACGUCCUACGGGAGAAAGCAGGGGAUCUUCGGACCUUGCGCUAAAUGAUGAGCCUAAGUCGGAUUAGCUAGUUGGUGGGGUAAAGGCCUACCAAGGCGACGAUCUGUAGCGGGUCUGAGAGGAUGAUCCGCCACACUGGGACUGAGACACGGCCCAGACUCCUACGGGAGGCAGCAGUGGGGAAUAUUGGACAAUGGGCGGAAGCCUGAUCCAGCCAUGCCGCGUGUGUGAAGAAGGCUUUUUGGUUGUAAAGCACUUUAAGCGAGGAGGAGGCUACUGAGACUAAUACUUUUGGAUAGUGGACGUUACUCGCAGAAUAAGCACCGGCUAACUCUGUGCCAGCAGCCGCGGUAAAAC